UGCUUCAUUGACUUUCCUAGUGGCUUCUUUGAGGUAGUGGUGGAGAAGAAAAAGGUUUGGUGCAGAGAUUACUGAUGAAGAGGUUGAGCUGCUACUUGACAGAAUCCCCCUUGAUGAAGAUGGAAAUGUCAGAUAUCCCCAGUUCAUGGUCAGGUUUGAGUCAUGAGCACCCUGAGAGCCCACAGUGUGAGACCACAGCUCAGCAGGCUCCCUGGCUAAUGUGUGUCACAGCUUUCAGUGGGCUGCAGAAGAAAAAGUCUGCACAUGCUCUUUGAAGAGAUACCUCGGUUCAGAGGGCUGUGGAUCCCAUUGAUCUGAGCCUGAAGAGGAGAAAGAUGCACAGAAACAGAGGGAAAAUAGGCAGAUCCAGAAAGUAUAGAUGGACAAUAUCCUGGGCAGGUAUAGAAAAACCCGUAUCAUACUCCUGCAGUACUACUUCUUAAAAUGUGGUAGGAAGGCACAGGACUUCAUCUGAAGUACUGCUUCCAGGCAUGCACAUGACAGUUUUAUGGCCACUAAUCUUGGUCCUGGCUGUUUUCAGGGAUGUUGUGCUUAUUAGCCUGGAAGAACACACAGUUAUGG